GAGCGGACUGAUGGGAGCUUUGCUUCCUGAGUCAGCGGCGGACGGGUGAGUAACACGUGGGUAACCUGCCUGUAAGACUGGGAUAACUCCGGGAAACCGGGGCUAAUACCGGAUAGUUCUUUUCCUCGCAUGAGGAAAAGUGGAAAGGCGGCUUCGGCUGCCACUUACAGAUGGACCCGCGGCGCAUUAGCUAGUUGGUGAGGUAACGGCUCACCAAGGCAACGAUGCGUAGCCGACCUGAGAGGGUGAUCGGCCACACUGGGACUGAGACACGGCCCAGACUCCUACGGGAGGCAGCAGUAGGGAAUCUUCCGCAAUGGACGAAAGUCUGACGGAGCAACGCCGCGUGAGUGAUGAAGGUUUUCGGAUCGUAAAGCUCUGUUGUUAGGGAAGAACAAGUGCCGUUCGAAUAGGGCGGCACCUUGACGGUGCCUAACCAGAAUGCCACGGCUAACUACGUGCCAGCAGCCGCGGUAAUACGUAUGUGGCAUGCGUUGUCCGGAAUUAUUGGGCGUAAAGCGCGCG
rnacentral:rRNA from 1 species